rnacentral:rRNA from 1 species
AUGGACAUAGGCAAGUUGCAGCUUUUACACACACUGGAUAUAAUAGACACUAGUAUAAAAGAAUUACCUUCAAGUGUUGUACAGCUCAGAAAUUUGAUAUGCCUAUGUGUCAAUUCUAGGGUGAGGCUGCCAAAAGGAAUGGGGAGCUUGAUGUCCCUUGAAGUGCUGGAACAAGUAGGCUUAUCCUUGUCUCCUCACUUUAUGAAAGACCUGGGCCAUCUGACAGAGGUUAGGACGCUCAGUGUUGACUGUCGUAACAUGGACGAGGAUCUGAUUGAUAUAUUAAUCAAGUCUCUAGGCAACCUGCAGAAAUUUUAA